CAACUUUCAGCAAUGGAUCUCUUGGCUCUCGCAUCGAUGAAGAACGCAGCGAAAAGCGAUAUGUAAUGUGAAUUGCAGAUCUACAGUGAAUCAUCGAAUCUUUGAACGCACCUUGCGCUCCUUGGUAUUCCGAGGAGCAUGCCUGUUUGAGUGUCAGUAAUU
rnacentral:rRNA from 3 species